UAUAUAUGCAGCGAGAAUAAUAGCAAAACAAAACAAAACAUCUCCCUCAUGGAAGUUGUAAUGAACAAAGGAAAGUGCUUAUUUUGCUUUAAUGUGGAGUACCAUACAAAUGCUUUUAUAAUUUCUGUUAUUUUUGGUAAAUUCUUCUGGCUGGAAAGUGUCCCCCCCACACACACACACACACCCCUUAGGGUACUAGGGAUGGAACCCACAAUGAAACUGAUCUACAUCCCAGCCCUUUAAAAAAAAAAAAAAAAGUUUUAUUUUGCUGGGCAUUGUGAUCCACGCCUGUAAUCCCAUAAUCCCACCUGCUUGGAGGUGUGAGGCAGGAGGAUUACAAGUUCCAGGCCAGCCUCAAAAUUUUAGCAAGGCCCUAAACUACUUAGCAAGACCCUGUCUCAAAAUUUAAGAAGAGAGAGAGAGAGAGAGAGAGAGAGAGAGAUAUUGAGCGCUGGGGAUGUGGCUCAGUGCCCAAGGAUUCAAUUCCAGCUACCAAAAAAAUUAAAAAAUAAAAGUUCUAUUUUCUAACAGGGGCUUGCUUGCUAAGUUGUCCAGGUUGGCCUUGAACUUGUGAUCUUUCUGCCUCAAUUUCCCAGAUAGCUAAGAGGACAGGCCUGCAGUCACUACAUCCAGUAAGACAUGUUUGUUUGCUUGUUUUAUUUUGUUUUUGUUUUUGUUUUUAUUGUGCUGGGGUUGAAUCCAGUAGUGAUUUACCACUGAACUACACCCCCAACCCUAUUUGUGUAUUUAUUUCUUUCAAGACAGGGUCUCACUAAAUUGCCCAGGCUGAGCUCAAACCUUCCAUCAUUCUGCCCCAGCCACCUGAGUUGCUGAUUACAGGGGCCUACCACUGAGUCCAGCUGCCCAGCAAAGCAAUCAUGACAAAGGCUGCUGUGGUCAGUGAUUUUAAAUGAAUCCCAGUAUGCUGGGAGAGGUGACACAAAAGCUCAUGGACAAAGUGAGCCUUACGUUAUGACAAGUGUUGUAACAAUACUAUGCUUUCAUACAAGUGUCUUAGGGACACCUACCUGUUAAAGCCAGUCUGAAUUUUUGUUCAGUGAAUCCACAUUUGGAGACACAGUUAUUAACUGUGUUCCCCCACUGUUUCUCCCCCAUGUUGUUCCCCUAUUUCUCAACAUGGUUUAAUGAGCAUUUCUUUGUUUAUUAGAAAACUGGAAUAUGGCCAGGCAUGUCUGUAAUUCCAGUGGCUAGGGAGGCUGAAGCAGGAAGAUUGCAAGUUCAAAGUCAGCUUAAGCAAUUUAGUGAGGCCAUAAGCAACUUAAUGAGACCCUGUCUCAAAAUAAAAAAUAAUAAGGGCUAAGGAUGUGACUCAGUGGUUAAGCGCCUAAAAACAAAAAAAAAAAAAGAAAGAAAGAAAGAAAAUUGGAAUAUGUGUUGGUAUUUUAUUGCAGUUUUUCUAUUAAAACAUUGAUUCUUCUUUUUUCUCCAUAACUCAUCUCCUUCAAAGAAUAAUUUGUAAACAUUCAACAUGUGUACAAGUUCUUCUGAGGCAAGCAAGUACCUCACUUAAAAAAAACAAAUCCUUAUUUUUAGUUGUAGAUGGACACAACACUUUUCUUUUAUUUGUUUUUAUUUUUAUGUGGCCCAGGAGAUCAAACCCAGUGCCUCACGCAUGCUAGGCAAGCGCUCUACCACUGAGCCACAAUUCCAGCCCCAAGCAAAUUCCUCUUGAUUUGGAUCCUUCAUUCACCUCCUCUGUUAGUUUUCUUAUAGCCUUAGAGACUGGAAGCUCUCAGAAAUUUGCAGACCCACCAAGAAGAUGACACAUUUGGAACCCAAGAUGCUAAAGAAUCUCAAUGUACUGUGACUAUCAUCUUAUAGUUUCAUCUCUUUGGGAAUGAACAUGUUAGGAUAGUCAUAUAUAUAUAUAUAUAUAUAUAUAUAUAUAUAUAUAUAUAUAUAUACACACACACAUACACACACAUAUAUUUGUUGCAGUAUUUUUCCAUUUAAUAAUUUACUUAUUACUUCCUUAAUAACAGACUUUAGGUUAAUUUAUUGUGCUAUAUAAUUUUGAAAUACAUAUCCUACUAUGAAAAUUUGUAUUAUAGGUUAUUUUGGGGGUGGGUAACCAGAUACAAUCUUCCUCAGUCACAAUGUCCUUUAUGAUGGCAUUUUGUUCUUGUCAGUAAAAUAUUAUCCAUUUUCCUAGAGCUUAAGAUGGUAAAAUAAAUGUGAUGAUUGUACUACAGCAAUUCUAUAUCUACACAUAAUGGCCUUCCCUUCUCAAAAAGUUCCAAUUAUUAUACCUUCCAGGAUGUUACAGAAAUAUUUGGGUAGCUUUACUGUCAAGUAAAUCACAUACAAUUUGUUUUGAGGAGGAUGUAAUCUAAAGACUUCAUCAAUGCUGAAAAUGUACACAUUUUUUGCUGUGCUGAUAUUGCUGUACUGAAAGUUGG
rnacentral:lncRNA from 1 species